CAGAAGUCAGGUCGGAUCAAGCCAUAGUACGGAAAAAACUAUGCUACCUGUGAGCCCCGUCCAAGGACGUAAAAAGAAGUCAGGCCACUACAAGUGCCAUAGCUUGAGUAAACUAUGCAGCCUGUAGCUCCACCUGAGAAGGUGUAAAAAAUCUGGGAGGCCACAAACCAUGGAAGCUGUACGCAUGGCGUAGUGGACUAGCGGUUAGAGGAGACCCCUCCCUUACAAAUCGCAGCAACAAUGGGGGCCCAAGGUGAGAUGAAGCUGUAGUCUCACUGAAAGGACUAGAGGUUAGAGGAGACCCCCCCGAAAUAAAAAACAGCAUAUKAC
rnacentral:lncRNA from 1 species